rnacentral:rRNA from 1 species
UACGAGUGCCUCAAGCGUUAUCCGGAAUCAUUGGGCGUAAAGGUUGUGUAGGUGGUUGUAUUAGUCUCUUGUUAAAUUCUUCGGCUUAACCGGGGGCAUGCAAGGGAAACGGUACAACUCGAGGAUGCGAGGGGUCUGCGGAACUCAUAGUGUAGCGGUGAAAUGCGUUGAUAUUAUGGGGAACACCAAAAGCGAAGGCAGCAGACUGGAGCACUCCUGACACUGAAACAAGAAAGCGUGGGUCGCGAAUGGG